UAGAAGGAUUCUCGAUUCAUUUAACAAUAUAAAGUCUGAUAAAUAAACAAGAUGCAAAAAACAAUUGUUAAGUUUCUUCAAACAUAACCAUGCACCUUACAAUAUUCUAAUGCUGAAACCUAAACAGUUCUUCCUGAUGAAUCCAUGCGAAUUCCAAACAUUUGAGUGUCCCAUGGCCUGUAGCUUCUUGGAUUAAUCGCAAGUGACAGUAAAUUCAUUCAAUAUUUGUUGAGAUAAAGUUGAUCUUAAAUAAGAUUUGGAGAUUGCUAGCAAUAAGCUCUUUAAGAACAUCUUUAAUGGUGCUCUUAUUAAAAAAAUAUAUGUCAUUUUUGUUCCUAUGCAUAUAUUAAAGUCUCAAAACUAGAGAGGGAAUGCGGCUAAAGGAGAAUCAACUUCAAAAACCAAUUUGUUCUCUUCUCAUUAUAUAUUUGUUAGGUUAUCAUGUGCAGCAAAUUCUCUCUUUUGUUAGGAUUAUAUGUAAUUAA
rnacentral:lncRNA from 1 species